UGGCUUCUCCAUGGGUGUGCCAGUCAUGUCUGUGUAUGGGUUUCUCUGUGUGCAUGUGGGGGUGUGGAAGGAAGAACUAAGUUCUCAAUAGCUUUUCCAGACUCCCAUCCAGAGCCCAAGACUCAAAGUGAAAAUGCUGUCAAACGCUUAAAGGAAAAUUGCUGCUGAUACAGGGUUUCAGAUCCCCAGACUUUCAUGAAAUAGGCUGAGUGACUUUUGAAGGGCUACCUGUGAAUUAUCAUUUAGUAAAGUGAAAACACAAAGGCUCCAUUUGGGGGCUCCCUGCUGUUGGAGACUGCUGAGCAUCUCUGAACCGGCUCUGCGUUGGUGAGAAAGUGUCAAGCAUCCCAUUGCUUUUACUAUCUAUGUAAUACUAAAAGAUAUGCAUUUGCUCUGUGUGUCCUCUGGGGAAAUACAUUUCUGCAUGUAAGUUCAUGAAAAGUGGUAGCAAAAACUGCCACGAAAGGGUUCCAAGAAGGGGUAACCAGAAGAUAAGAAGAAAAGGCUCCACACUGUCGCCAAAGCUCAGAUGUAGGAAGAGGGUAUACUACAGCCUUCUUGUGCUCGGGAACACAGCACUUCAGCACUCCGCUUGGGGACCGUUUCAAACAGAUUAAAUCAUGGACAAAAAGUACAAAAUGCUAAAAACAUGGCAUUAACUAGACUGUGGAAAGGACACAUUAACAGUUUGAGAGUCGAAACAAGAAGGCAGAGCAUCACCUUGUCUGACCUCAGCUGGGAAUGCGUGCAUAGGGCUAUUCAAAUUUCUUGACACUUGGCACACGGCUGCAAAUGACUAUGAAAGCAUUGCAAAUAUUUAUUUGGAAGUUACAAAUAAAUUCUAACAAGUAGGCAAAUUUGUAAAUACGGAAUCCGUGAAUAACAAGAAUCAACUGUACCAAUGUAAAA